rnacentral:rRNA from 1 species
UACGGAGGAUGCGAGCGUUAUUCGGAUUUAUUGGGUUUAAAGGGUGCGUAGGCUGUAAGGUAAGUCAGCGGUGAAAUGCCCCCGCUCAACGGGGUGAAGUGCCAUUGAUACUGCCUUGCUGGAAUGCGGAUGCCGUGGGAGGAAUGUGUGGUGUAGCGGUGAAAUGCAUAGAUAUCACACAGAACACCGAUUGCGAAGGCAUCUCACGAAUCCGCGAUUGACGCUGAGGCUCGAAAGUGUGGGGAGCAAACAGG